rnacentral:rRNA from 1 species
CCUACGGGCGGCAGCAGUGAGGAAUAUUGGUCAAUGGGCGCGAGCCUGAACCAGCCAAGUCGCGUGAGGGAAGACGGUCCUAUGGAUUGUAAACCUCUUUUGUCGGGGAGCAAAAGACGCCACGCGUGGCGUUCCGAGAGUACCCGAAGAAAAAGCAUCGGCUAACUCCGUUCCAGCAGCCGCAGUAAUUCGGAGGAUGCGAGCGUUAUCCGGAGUGAGUGGGUUAAAGGGGUGCGCAGGCGGAAGAUCAAUUCAGCGGUAAAAUUGAGAGGCUCAACCACUUCGAGCCGUUGAAACUGGUUUUCUUGAGUGAGUGAGAAGUAUGCGGAAUGCGUGGUGUAGCGGUGAAAUGCGUAGAUAUCACGCAGAACUCCGAUUGCGAAGGCAGCAUACCGGCGCUCAACUGACGCUCAUGCACGAAAGUGUGGGUAUCGAACAGGAUUAGAUACCCGUGUAGUC